rnacentral:lncRNA from 10 species
GAGCAGCCUGCGUCUUUAAGGUCAUAGCUGUUAUUCUUGGAGUUAUUUAUUUAUUUGUCAAAGUCUCGCUCUGUUGCCCAGGCUGGAGUGCAGUGGCGCGAUCUUGGCUCACUGCAAUCUCCGCCUCCCGGGUUCAAGUGAUUCUCCUGCUUCAGCCUCUCGAGUAGCUAGGAUUAUGGGCGCCUGCCACUAGGCCCGACUAAUUUUUUGUAUUUUUUUUUUCAGUAGAAAUGGGGUUUCACUAUGUUGGCCAGCCUGGUCUCAAACUUCUGACCUCAAGAGAUCGACCUGCCUCAGCCUCCCAAAGUGCUGGUUCCUUUUUUAUAAGCUCCCCAAGUGGCUCUAAUCUGCAGCCAAGUUAGGAAGCUCCGCUUUAGGGUUUCCCCAUAAAUAGCACUCCAGGCUUGGGUCUCUGUCAGAGAGAUGAGCUCCUGAAAUCUUGUAUGCAAAGUGGCUGUUUAGUCUGCUCACAGCAUCUCUUAGGUGACCCCAUUCACCCUGUCCUGACAAGCAACUGGGUCUUUAUGACUUUUACGUCUAUGCUUCCAGAGUUAAGACAUGUUUUUACAGAAUUGUGGGUGGGGAAAGAGAAUAGAUGAGGAAUGAACCGAGAAUUAUUUCCUUUUUCCUUUGAAAUGCUUUGGACAUUAAGACUAUCAUAUGGCAAAGCUUAAACUUCCUAGGAAACAAGUAAUGACAUUUCGAAGCCACUUGCUCUUUAGGUGCAUCCUUGCUUCAGAAGUAAGACACAUAAUAAAAUAUAAGACAAACGUGACAGGUUUCUUUGAAGUCUUUUUCAUCUCCUGAGGAGAAAUUUUCAUCAGCAAGCAUUGGGAGAGCUUGGUCUCUGUGGGUGUGUGACGGCCGCUGUAGGCGAAGCUACAAUUAUAUCCAUUCCAACCAACCCCCGCUGCAGGGUGCCGGGCAAAGGCCAUGUCCAUCAGUGAUGUCUUCAUCCAGGGCUACCCUGGUCAAGAGUGCAAAUGGCAGAAAAUGACAUUUGCGUCUGGGCAAAAAGCAUCAUAAAUGUUCACAGCUGUGGCUCCUCAGGGUCUUCCUUAUCACUCAGGCAUGGUGGGUUUUGUGUUCACUCAGGGUGAGACCUUUGCUCUUCCAUCAGCCAGAAGGCUUCCAGGGCCUCCU